CAGCCGCCGCGGGAAUACAGAGGGUGCGAGCGUUAAUCGGAUUUACUGGGCGUAAAGCGUGCGUAGGCGGCUUCUUAAGUCGGAUGUGAAAUCCCUGAGCUUAACUUAGGAAUUGCAUUCGAUACUGGGAAGCUAUAGUAUGGGAGAGGAUGGUAGAAUUCCAGGUGUAGCGGUGAAAUGCGUAGAGAUCUGGAGGAAUACCGAUGGCGAAGGCAGCCAUCUGGCCUAAUACUGACGCUGAGGUACGAAAGCAUGGGGAGCAAACAGGAUUAGAUACCCCCGUAGUCCCUGUCUCUUAUAC
rnacentral:rRNA from 1 species